GAGACUUUCGGGUGGAUUUUAAAAUGACUGAGUGGCGGACGGGUGAGUAACGCGUGGGCAACCUGCCUUACACAGGGGGACAACAGUUAGAAAUGACUGCUAAUACCGCAUAAGCGCACGGGAACGCAUGUUUCUGUGUGAAAAACUCCGGUGGUGUAAGAUGGGCCCGCGUUGGAUUAGGUAGUUGGUGAGGUAAGGGCUCACCAAGCCGACGAUCCAUAGCCGACCUGAGAGGGUGACCGGCCACAUUGGGACUGAGACACGGCCCAAACUCCUACGGGAGGCAGCAGUGGGGAAUAUUGCACAAUGGGCGCAAGCCUGAUGCAGCGACGCCGCGUGAGCGAAGAAGUAUUUCGGUAUGUAAAGCUCUAUCAGCAGGGAAGAAAAUGACGGUACCUGACUAAGAAGCUCCGGCUAAAUACGUGCCAGCAGCCGCGGUAAUACGUAUGGAGCAAGCGUUAUCCGGAAUUACUGGGUGUAAAGGGAGCGUAGACGGAUGUGCAAGUCUGAUGUGAAAGGCGGGGGCUCAACCCCUGGACUGCAUUGGAAACUGUAAAUCUUGAGUGCCGGAGAGGUAAGCGGAAUUCCUAGUGUAGCGGUGAAAUGCGUAGAUAUUAGGAGGAACACCAGUGGCGAAGGCGGCUUACUGGACGGUAACUGACGUUGAGGCUCGAAAGCGUGGGGAGCAAACAGGAUUAGAUACCCUGGUAGUCCACGCGGUAAACGAUGAAUACUAGGUGUUGGGGAGCAAAGCUCUUCGGUGCCGC
rnacentral:rRNA from 1 species